rnacentral:piRNA from 1 species
UAGAGACUGGCCUCUUCCAAGGAC